ensembl:lncRNA
CUCCAAAUGGAUUCCAGAUCCCAGCAGUCUUCGAUAGUUUUCUCUACCUGGCAGGACAUGUUUUCCUGUCUUGUCUUGUGAACUUGAGAAUCAUUUGCCCAAAUUCUAUCUAAAAUAUUUUGGAAUUUUGAUGACUAAUAACUUAAAAAUAAUGUUUGACAGAAAAGAAGCUUUGAGGAAACGAAUCAUUUUUCCAAAAUCAGAAGUCUUUCAUUAAUUUGCUUUAGAGUUAAUUUCCUGCCCAAGAAAUGUGUCUAAAUGCAGUCAUGACUGUGUUCUGACAUCAGACCGUCCCAUAUGUUCCUGUCCUGAAGGCUCAGUGCUUGACACAGAUGGAAAGACAUGCAGUGG